GGACGAACGCUGGCGGCGUGCUUAACACAUGCAAGUCGAACGAUGAAGCCCAGCUUGCUGGGUGGAAGAGUGGCGAACGGGUGAGUAACACGUGAGUAACCUGCCCUUCACUCUGGGAUAAGCGCUGGAAACGGUGUCUAAUACUGGAUACGACCCUUACAGGCAUCUGUUGGGGGUGGAAAGAUUUAUCGGUGAAGGAUGGGCUCGCGGCCUAUCAGGUAGUUGGUGAGGUAACGGCUCACCAAGCCGACGACGGGUAGUCGGCCUGAGAGGGUGACCGGCCACACUGGGACUGAGACACGGCCCNNACUCCUACGGGAGGCAGCAGUGGGGAAUAUUGCACAAUGGGCGAAAGCCUGAUGCAGCAACGCCGCGUGAGGGAUGACGGCCUUCGGGUUGUAAACCUCUUUUAGUAGGGAAGAAGCGUAAGUGACGGUACCUGCAGAAAAAGCACCGGCUAACUACGUGCCAGCAGCCGCGGUAAUACGUAGGGUGCAAGCGUUGUCCGGAAUUAUUGGGCGUAAAGAGCUCGUAGGCGGCUUGUCGCGUCUGCUGUGAAAUCCCGGAGCUCAACUCCGGGCCUGCAGUGGGUACGGGCAGGCUAGCGUGCGGUAGGGGAGAUUGGAAUUCCUGGUGUAGCGGUGGAAUGCGCAGAUAUCAGGAGGAACACCGAUGGCGAAGGCAGAUCUCUGGGCCGCUACUGACGCUGAGGAGCGAAAGCAUGGGGAGCGAACAGGAUUAGAUACCCUGGUAGUCCAUGCCGUAAACGUUGGGAACUAGAUGUAGGGCCUGUUCCACGGGUUCUGUGUCGUAGCUAACGCAUUAAGUUCCCCGCCUGGGGAGUACGGCCGCAAGGCUAAAACUCAAAGGAAUUGACGGGGGCCCGCACAAGCGGCGGAGCAUGCGGAUUAAUUCGAUGCAACGCGAAGAACCUUACCAGGGUUUGACAUCAUACUGCCCUCUGUAGAAAUACAGACUUCCGCUUCGGCGGACAGUAUGACAGGUGUUGCAUGGUUGUCGUCAGCUCGUGUCGUGAGAUGUUGGGUUAAGUCCCGCAACGAGCGCAACCCCUAUCCAAUGUUGCCAACAGGUAAAGCUGGGGACUCAUUGGAGACUGCCGGAGACGAUCUGGAGGAAGGUGGGGAUGAGGUCAAAUCAUCAUGGCCCUUAAGCCCUGGGCUACACACGCGCUACAAUGGUCGGUACAACGGGCAGCGAAGGAGCGAUCUGGAGCGAAUCCCAAAAAGCCGGCCCCAGUUGGAAUCGCAGGCUGAAACUCGCCUGCGUGAACACGGAAUUGCUAGUAAUCGCGAAUCAGCUACGUCGCGGUGAAUACGUUCCCGGGCCU
rnacentral:rRNA from 1 species